CUCCCAGCCCUGACCACCGUCCAUCUGCAUCUGGCUUGGAGGUGCCGCGCCCUGUGCUUUGUGGGGCCUGGGUACAUGGGGUGUGCAACUGUAUCGAAGGACAUGGGAGGAGCUGUGUUUGCGGCAUGUCUGAGGGCCCGAGAGGUUGCAGGGUAGGGCAGGUGUUCACGUGGACACAGGGAUGAACACGACAGCAAGGCACCAUCCAGCAGAGCGCAGCGUGCUUUCUCCAUCGAGAACACAGACACCCAGGGGCGGCCCCAGGCCCUAUAGUGGCCCCGGUUCGAGGGGCAGAUGCUUUGGGUGUCUGUCCCUUCCUGAGUCCUGGAACUUUGGCCUACGGUGCAUGUUUGUCCAGGAGUCCUGUGGCCUGCCCGGGCCCUUUCAGGGGAGCAUCAGCAUGCAGCCUGGGGGACCCACGGGGGGCUGCUUGUUACUGCAACAGUGAUGCCCCCACCCAGUGACGUGUGCCAUCCCCCGUGGGCCCCUCCACCAUGCCCCAUGGGUUAUGACCCUGAAUGCACUUGUGUGCUGUCAUAAAUCCUGCUGCUGGGACUUGUCCUGGGAGGUGAGGGGAGGCUCACAGGGCAGAAACAUGCAGCGUCCUCUGCAGUUUGAGUCACACGGCAUUAACCUCCCCCAGCGGAGUCAUGCAGCCACCCAAAUCCAUGCUCACAAGGAGAGUAGGUGCCAUGGAGGCCACGACACAGCCAUGAAGCAGCUGGGUGCUUGCCGGGAACAUCCACCAGGGGCUCUGCUUGCUCCUUCUCAGGAGUCCUUGGAAUCAGCGGGGCAGCUUUGCAGGAGGACACAGGGAGCCGCACAAGUCAUGGUCCACACACUGUGUGUGUCCACCCGAUGGUGGCCUCUGCUCCUCCCUCCCCCGCAGGGACGUGGGGGCGUCAGGCCUGGAGACACGCAGUGCCAGGUGUCACCACGGGGAAGUCCCUGAGACCACAGGCGGCUCCAAAGUGGCUGCUCCGUCGGGCUGUCUGCUCUCAGGCUGGGCGUUGAAGUUACCAGAGUCGGCGUGGCAGGGGCCCCCGGAGACCAGGGGCCGGCAGGGCAGGAACGUUGUGGGCACAGGCCCGACGGGCACCCACCCACGGUCUCCCGCUUGGCUAUCUGUCUGAGUCUCCUUGCAGGACACGGGUGAGGCUGUAACACAGACCUGCUGUUGGUGCAAGAAGCCAGAAAGCCAGUGAGUGGGAGUCCUCACCGCGGCGCCUUCCCCCUGACCCCUGCCCCAGGGGACUCACCUGGCCCUGGACAGGCGCUGUCACCGUACGAGCCUCUCUGCCCCAGGGCCCUAGGCUCAGCCUUCGGCUCAAUUCGCACUUGGAUGCAGGGCCUCACCUGACAAAGUGAUGGAGCUGGCAGCAGGUCCCCUUGUGGGCUCAGCUGCCUGUGUGGCCAAGGCAGCGUCAGGCAGUGUGGACUGAGACGCAGGGGAGGUCUCAUCCCUGACGGGCAUACGGGGCCACCCGGUCCUCGCCCCCACACCGGCUGACGCAGACAUGGCCCUGGGCCCAGGGGAGGCUCUGCCUGGCCGGGUGUGUGUGCGGCCGCGCUGCUCAGGGCUGCCCCAGCGUUACUGCCUCCUGCCCUCACACAUGCUCUCGGGGUGCCCAGGGACCUUUGGCUCAGGCUGCGAUCCUGGGGCCUGGGGGUCCCAUGUCGGGCUCCAUGCUCUGCGGAGAGGCUGCUCCCCCUUGUACCCCUGCCUCACCACAGGUCCUGCGGCCUUGCCCUUCGCAUUUGUGUGUUUUUCUUGGUGAUUUCACCAUUUAAAAUGCCCCCUAGCGAAGUGCCGGGAAGCUGUCUGGGGCCACGAGGGCAGGACACGGCUUGCAGAGAAACCCCAAGUGUGAGACAGGCCUCAGGCUUGGCCACCAACUCAGCAGCCGCGGGUCUGCAGUAUGUGGCGAAUACGGCGACUUGAAUCAGAAACA
rnacentral:lncRNA from 12 species